UACGUAGGGGGCUAGCGUUGUCCGGAUUUAUUGGGCGUAAAGAGCGUGUAGGCGGCCAGGUAGGUCUGCUGUGAAACCUCCAGGCUCAACCUGGAGACGCCACCCGAUACUGUCGUGACUAGAGUCCAGUAGGGGAGCGUGGAAUUCCUGGUGUAGCGGUGAAAUGCGCAGAUAUCAGGAGGAACACCAGCGGCGAAGGCGGCGCUCUGGGCUGGAACUGACGCUGAGGAGCGAAAGCGUGGGGAGCGAACAGG
rnacentral:rRNA from 1 species